GUAGGUGAACCUGCGGAAGGAUCAUUAAAG
rnacentral:rRNA from 1 species